rnacentral:rRNA from 1 species
AGAGUUCGAUUCUGGCUCAGGACGAACGCUGGCGGCGUGCUUAAUACAUGCAAGUCGAACGGGAUUUGUUUGUUGCACAAAACAUUCUUAUAUAGUGUGUUUUGUGCAACGAAUAAGUCUAGUGGCGGACGGGUGAGUAACGCGUGAAUAAUCUACCUCUUACAGGGGGACAACAGAUAGAAAUGUCUGCUAAUACCGCAUAAGACCACGGCCUGGCAUCAGGCAGGGGUAAAAGAUUUAUUUCGGUGAGAGAUGAGUUCGCGUAUCAUUAGUUAGUUGGUGGGGUAACGGCCUACCAAGACUACGAUGGUUAGCCGACCUGAGAGGGUGAUCGGCCACAUUGGAACUGAGAACGGUCCAGACUCCUACGGGAGGCAGCAGUAAGGAAUAUUGGGCAAUGGAGGCAACUCUGACCCAGCAACGCCGCGUGAAGGAAGAAGGCCCUCGGGUUGUAAACUUCUGUUAUCAGGGAAGAAGAUAGUGACGGUACCUGAUGAGAAAGCUCCGGCUAACUACGUGCCAGCAGCCGCGGUAAUACGUAGGGAGCAAGCGUUGUCCGGAUUGACUGGGCGUAAAGGGAGUGUAGGCGGUUUGGUAAGUCAAAUGUGAAAGCCCGUGGCUCAACCACGGAACUGCAUUUGAUACUGCUAGACUUGAGUUCGGGAGAGGUAAGUAGAAUUCCUAGUGUAGCGGUGGAAUGCGUAGAUAUUAGGAGGAAUACCAGUGGCGAAGGCGGCUUACUGGAACGACACUGACGCUGAGGCUCGAAAGCGUGGGGAGCAAACAGGAUUAGAUACCCUGGUAGUCCACGCCGUAAACGAUGGAUACUAAAUGUGGGAGGUAUCGACUCCUUCCGUAUUGUAGUUAACACGAUAAGUAUCCCGCCUGGGGAGUACGGUCGCAAGAUUAAAACUCAAAGAAAUUGACGGGGACCCGCACAAGCAGCGGAGCAUGUGGAUUAAUUCGAUGCAACGCGAAAAACCUUACCAAGACUUGACAUUUUGUGCAUAUCUAUGAAAGUAGAGAAUUUGAAGCAAUUCAACACAUAAACAGAUGGUGCAUGGUUGUCGUCAGCUCGUGUCGUGAGAUGUUGGGUUAAGUCCCGCAACGAGCGCAACCCUUACUGUUAGUUGCCAUCAUUCAGUUGGGCACUCUAGCAGAACUGCCGUAGAUAAUACGGAGGAAGGUGGGGAUGACGUCAAAUCAUCAUGCCUCUUACGUCUUGGGCUUCACACGUGCUACAAUGGCCAUUACAAAGAGUUGCGAGAUGGUAACAUGGAGCUAAUCUCAAAAAAAUGGUCUCAGUUCGGAUUGUGGGCUGAAACUCGCCCACAUGAAGUCGGAGUUGCUAGUAAUCCCGAAUCAGCAUGUCGGGGUGAAUGCGUUCCCGGGUCUUGUACACACCGCCCGUCACGCCAUGGGAGUCGAGGGGGCCCGAAGUCGGUGAGCUAACCCAGCAAUGGGAGGCAGCUGCCUAAGGCAAAAUCGAUGACUGGGGUGAAGUCGUAACAAGGUAGCUAUACGAGAACGUGUGGCUG